rnacentral:tRNA from 1 species
GCGGGAGUAGCUCAGUUGGUAGAGCGUCAGCUUCCCAAGCUGAAUGUCGUCGGUUCGAGUCCGAUCAUCCGCU